UACGUAGGUGGCAAGCGUUGUCCGGAAUUAUUGGGCGUAAAGCGCGCGCAGGCGGUCCUUUAAGUCUGAUGUGAAAGCCCACGGCUCAACCGUGGAGGGUCAUUGGAAACUGGGGGACUUGAGUACAGAAGAGAAGAGUGGAAUUCCACGUGUAGCGGUGAAAUGCGUAGAGAUGUGGAGGAACACCAGUGGCGAAGGCGGCUGACUGGUCCGGUUCUGACGCUGAGGCGCGAAAGCGUGGGGAGCAAACAGG
rnacentral:rRNA from 1 species